CCAAAAUUCAGACGCAAAUCCUCAAGCAUCAAAAGAUGUAACAAUUGCAUGUUACAAUUAGAUUAUUGCGCAAUCAAUGGAGUUGUGCAUAAUGUAAAAAAACAAAGACUAAAGAAUAAAAAUGAUGACAUCGAUGAACUCUUAAUUGCGUCCUCAUCGUUUUUUUUUUGCCCUCCUUAGUCAAUGUUCCCUCUCAGUUUUUUUUUUGCCUGGCGUUUUGUAAACAACGGAUCUAAGGACGCGUACCACUGUACUAAGUUAGCUAUGAGGUCUGCUUUGUUAGCGAGUGGUGAUAUGGUUUUACGCAGCUGUAUGAGCUUUGGGUUUAAUUCAUCCUCAUUUAAAAAAAAAAAAAUCCUGUUCCCUUUGUGCCCAUUUGGUUUUUGUUCAUUCCGAGGACGAUGAGACCACAGCUAGCAGAAAAGAGGUAGUGUGAAAAUUGCAGCGGCGAAAUAGCAAAACAUUUUUUUUUUAACCCACUUUUGUCGCUACUU